GUAUGCCAAUCCACAACUAUGGUAUGCCCACGGUCAAAAAAGGAGGAGUUAACCUUCCGCAGACUUGCGGUGCGGUAUUGUGGAGACAUACCGUAAUGCGGCAGCCAAGCCCGGCCGCCGCGAGAGUGUGCGCGCAGAGGCGGCACAGUCAGAGUCAGAAAACAUGGCA
rnacentral:ncRNA from 1 species